ACGAUGAUGCCAGGAGGAAAGAGCUCAUAGGGGUGGGGAUUAAAUGCUCUGGCUCGGAAGCCACGUCAUCAUGUUCUCUCACAACUCAUUGGCCAGCACUAGUCAUGUGGCACACAAAACGCAAGACCGGGAUGUGUCAUACUUUCAACUCCCAGAGAGUGAGGAAAGCCAGAAAAAUUCGGUGAAGGCAAAGGUAGCCAUGUCCUAAACAGUCUGUGGAAUAAUUUUGUUUAUGAACUAGAAAGUUCAUAGGAAGUGAAGGAAGUGAAGGAACAUUUAAGAAUUCAAGAUUUGAAGGUGUGCUAUAGAAACUCAACAUGAAAUAUGUAUAUAAAACAUGGUCAAAUAGGAAAUGACAAGCCUAGAAUGCUCUGAAAGGUUAUCUGGAAAAACGACAAAGGGCUUCAGAUAAGCUGUUUAGAGGAAGAUGAGAAUUUGCAUUUUAUGGCAACACAGCAUCUCAUAAGUUACUCAUUCUCAUCGUUGCUUGCCUGGACCGAUGUAAUGGCCUCCUGUUUUCUCUUCCAAUAUGU